rnacentral:rRNA from 1 species
AUUGAACGCUGGCGGCAGGCCUAACACAUGCAAGUCGAGCGAGCGGCGGACGGGUGAGUAAUGUCUGGGAAACUGCCUGAUGGAGGGGGAUAACUACUGGAAAAGGUAGCUACUACCGCAUACCCUCAGAUGUGCCCCGAUGGGAUUAGGUAGUAGGUGGGGUAACGGCUCACCUAGGGUACUAUCCCUAGCUGGGCUGAGAUGAUGACCAGCCGCACUGGAACGGAGCCACGGUCCAGACUCCUACGGGAGGCAGCAGUGGGGAAUAUUGCAAAAUGGGCGCAAGCCUGAUGCGGCCAUGCCGCGUGUGUGAAGAAGGCCUUCGGGUUGUAAAGUACUUUCAGCGGGGAGGCGUUACCCGCAGAAGAAGCACCGGCUAACUCCGUGCCAGCAGCCGCGGUAAUAC